UUUUUUUUUUUUUUUAAAUUGCCGCCCCACAAUCUUUUUGUCAUCAUUGUUAAUGGUGAAACCUAAUUUUUAGUGUUUCUCCUCAUGGCAUGAAAAUGUUUUAUAUGGGAUUCCAUUUAUAUAAUGCCCGCACCAAAUCUUUUGAUCUGACACUAAGUUAGACAGGAGUAGGAUCUUUCUGAAUAUAAAAGAUGGAUGUCUGGUUAUCUCUGAUUAAUUCAUCUUAGGUUCAUAUUCAACUUAUAGGUAGCUAGGAUGAAAUUGGGUCCCAUGGUUGAAAGAGAUGAGGUGUUGGGUUCAGCUCAUGUAGUAAAGAUGAGGGGUAUGUUGGGGGUUAUGGGCUUUAGCAUGAACACACUCGUGCAAUUCUGAGUUUUAUGUAUAAUGUACCAGAUUUCUCAGUUUCCUCGAACUUAUGGUGUUACUUUUAUCAGGUUCAAAGUGUGGAGGAAUUGGAAGAAGUUCUUUCUCAGGGAGCG
rnacentral:misc_RNA from 1 species